rnacentral:lncRNA from 1 species
CCACCUUCCGUCCCGCUGGAACCGCCCCUCCCCCCACCAUCCGAGGCCCGCGCCUGCGCACUCCUGACGCCCGCGCCGCGCCCCCGCAGCUUUGUGGGAAAUGUAGUCCGGCUCCCCGGGGUGGAGAUGCUGGGAGGGGCGGCAUUGGUCCGCUGGUUGCUCUGGCUCCUGCUGGGAGAGGCUCUGCCUCCUCUGAUCCUGCCCACCGCCUGGGAAGGACACCACAGGAAGGAAGGAGAAGGCAGUGGCUGCUGGGCCUCUACUAUUGGGAGUUCAGGGCAUCAGCUUUCCAAACCAAAUGUGAUAUCUCAGCUGGAUUGAGAACUGAGCCUGAUGACAAAAGAACAUCCAGGGUGCAUUUCCCCAGACUGGGAGAUAAGACUUGAAACCAAAGAGUCAACUACAAAGCCCUAAUUACUGAAG